ACUCAGAGCACAUACUUCUUUAUGUACCCAUAUGAACAUUCAGUGCUAUGGAAUGUAAAGAAGUAUGUAUUUUGGGU
rnacentral:pre_miRNA from 7 species